UGACCUCGGAUCAGGUAGGGAUACCCGCUGAACUUAAGCAUAUCAAUAAGCGGAGGAAAAGAAACCAACAGGGAUUGCCCCAGUAACGGCGAGUGAAGCGGCAAGAGCUCAAAUUUGAAAGCUGGCUCCUUCGGGGUCCGCAUUGUAAUUUGCAGAGGAUGCUUCGGGAGCGGUCCCCAUCUAAGUGCCCUGGAACGGGACGUCAUAGAGGGUGAGAAUCCCGUAUGGGAUGGGGUGUCCGCGCCCGUGUGAAGCUCCUUCGACGAGUCGAGUUGUUUGGGAAUGCAGCUCUAAAUGGGUGGUAAAUUUCAUCUAAAGCUAAAUAUUGGCCGGAGACCGAUAGCGCACAAGUAGAGUGAUCGAAAGAUGAAAAGCACUUUGAAAAGAGAGUUAAAAAGCACGUGAAAUUGUUGAAAGGGAAGCGCUUGCGACCAGACUCGCUCGCGGGGUUCAGCCGGCAUUCGUGCCGGUGUAUUUCCCCGCGGGCGGGCCAGCGUCGGUUUGGGCGGUCGGUCAAAGGCCCUCGGAAGGUAACGCCCCUAGGGGCGUCUUAUAGCCGAGGGUGCAAUGCGACCUGCCUAGACCGAGGAACGCGCUUCGGCUCGGACGCUGGCAUAAUU
rnacentral:rRNA from 1 species